rnacentral:rRNA from 1 species
CAGUAGCCGCGGGAAAACGUAGGUGGCAAGCGUUGUCCGAAACUAUUGGGCGUAAAGGGCUCGCAGGCGGUUUCUUAAGUCUGAUGUGAAAGCCCCCGGCUCAACCGGGGAGGGUCAUUGGAAACUGGGAAACUUGAGUGCAGAAGAGGAGAGUGGAAUUCCACGUGUAGCGGUGAGAUGCGUAGAGAUGUGGAGGAACACCAGUGGCGAAGGCGACUCUCUGGUCUGUAACUGACGCUGAGGAGCGAAAGCGUGGGGAGCGAACAGGAUUAGAUACCCCCGUAGUCCCUGUCUCUUAUAC